AACACAUGCAAGUCGAGCGGUAGCACAGGGGAGCUUGCUCCCUGGGUGACGAGCGGCGGACGGGUGAGUAAUGUCUGGGAAACUGCCUGAUGGAGGGGGAUAACUACUGGAAACGGUAGCUAAUACCGCAUAACGUCGCAAGACCAAAGAGGGGGACCUUCGGGCCUCUUGCCAUCAGAUGUGCCCAGAUGGGAUUAGCUAGUAGGUGGGGUAAUGGCUCACCUAGGCGACGAUCCCUAGCUGGUCUGAGAGGAUGACCAGCCACACUGGAACUGAGACACGGUCCAGACUCCUACGGGAGGCAGCAGUGGGGAAUAUUGCACAAUGGGCGCAAGCCUGAUGCAGCCAUGCCGCGUGUGUUAAGAAGGCCUUCGGGUUGUAAAGCACUUUCAGCGAGGAGGAAGGUGGUGAGCUUAAUACGCUCAUCAAUUGACGUUACUCGCAGAAGAAGCACCGGCUAACUCCGUGCCAACAGCCGCGGUAAUACGGAGGGUGCAAGCGUUAAUCGGAAUUACUGGGCGUAAAGCGCACGCAGGCGGUUUGUUAAGUCAGAUGUGAAAUCCCCGGGCUCAACCUGGGAACUGCAUUUGAAACUGGCAAGCUAGAGUCUCGUAGAGGGGGGGUAGAAUUCCAGGUGUAGCGGUGAAAUGCGUAGAGAUCUGGAGGGAUACCGGUGGCGAAGGCGGCCCCCUGGACGAAGACUGACGCUCAGGUGCGAAAGCGUGGGGAGCNA
rnacentral:rRNA from 1 species